CCUCUGCAGUUUUUUCUGGCAGCUGCCCCAUUAUGGAGUUGUGCCUUCUGGGUCAGAGAUGAAAAGAGCUGGCUGUAACCCUGUGCAACUGAAACCCUUUUUCCGAAGGACUCUUAAAUCCCAGGAGAAUCCCUUUAAACAUCUGUUCUGUCUUCUCUGGAGAUAGUGAUGGGUGGCUGCUGUGAUACUGUAAUUAGAUGUGGCUCCUUGAUUAACCGGGAUUCCUGUGUCCACCUGGUAACAUCUUUUAAUUGGAGCAUAUAGGUCUGGACCUGAGUCAACUGAACUUCUCCAGUGUGUAGUGAUCAUUAAAUUUGACUUAGAGCCAUUAGAAAAUGUGCUGGAAAACUUGGAGUUGUCUCUGAAUUGCCAUUCAAGCGAUGUGUGUAAGAAAAGCCUACCAGCUCAAGGAAAUGAUUGAAAAUGAGCCAAAAGCAUCGUGUGAGUCAAGAGGCGCAGAAGUGCUGCCAAGCACCGAUUCCCACCAUGGCAGCAACGUCUCCUGGGGUGGUGAAUUCCAAAGAAAUGGCUCUGUGGUGGCUGGCACCGGCUGCAGCAGGAAAGUCACGCAGAAAAAGGAACAAGGCAGCAGGGCAAUUAGAAACACAAUGUCCUGUGGGGCUGAAGGAUGGGUUCAUCCUUCACAGGGAACUUCCUAGUUCCCUAUGGGUCUUGAGGAUGACUGAAAGGCACUUGAUUUGCUGUUUGGUACCCAGCAAGGAAGUUUUACAUCACCUGGUCCUGCUGUGUUUCCAGGUAAGAUCUCUGCCUCUGCUGUGGAAUGAAAGGACACACCAGGUAGCAGUGCCUAGCACUCAGAAAUGGCAACUUCUGUUCCUUUUCCUGGCUGAGUGAGCACAUAGCCUCACCUCC